AACGAACGCUGGCGGCAUGCCUAACACAUGCAAGUCGAACGAGACCUUCGGGUCUAGUGGCGCACGGGUGCGUAACGCGUGGGAACCUGCCUUUAGGUUCGGAAUAACUCAGAGAAAUGUGAGCUAAUACCGGAAGAUGUCUUCGGACCAAAGAUUUAUCGCCUUUAGAUGGGCCCGCGUUGGAUGAGCUAGUUGGUGGGGUAAAGGCCGACCAAGGCGACGAUCCAUAGCUGGGCUGAGAGGAUGAUCAGCCACACUGGGACUGAGACACGGCCCAGACUCCUUCGGGAGACAGCAGUGGGGGAAUAUUGGCCAAUGGGCGAAAGCCUGAUCCAGCAAUGCCGCGUGAGUGAUGAAGGCCUUAGGGUUGUAAAGCUCUUUUACCCGAGAUGAUAAUGACAGUAUCGGGAGAAUAAGCUCCGGCUAACUCCGUG
rnacentral:rRNA from 1 species